rnacentral:snRNA from 1 species
GCUUUUGCGCAGUGGCAGUAUUGUAGCCAAUUAGGUUUAUCUGAGGCACGAUUAUUGCUAAUUGAAAACUUUAACUCCAGGGAUAAUUUUUCC